rnacentral:lncRNA from 1 species
GCAUCAAGAGUCAGGCAGGGGCAGCAGCCCACGUUCAGCUGGAAUUCUGUGGCUUAACCCAGGGGUUUUCUAUGUGUCAUGAGAGAUAACACAACACUCUCACCAACGAAGUUGAAUAAAUUAUAUUUAGGACUCACAAGCUGGUAGUGGGAACUAUUUGCAGCUUUUUGAGCAGGGGAGGAAUGACGAUCAAAGCUGUAUUUAAGGAAGAAGAAUCUGACAGUGCUGCGUGGGCUUUGCUGGAACUGGGCAGUGAGAAGGCUAGAAAUUGCAUUUGUUCCGGUAAAAGUGAUAAAAAAGAAAUGAUCAGAAGUGGAAAGGUGGGUUAGUGAACCAAUGUUUCCACCUCUGAAGGGCCACGGAGCCAGGGAGGAGGAUUUACUCUUCUCUGUUAAGAAGGAGCUCUGCUGUCCUGACCAAAUGCCAGAAGAUGUGACUUUGCUCAGACCAAGCUACCAAAGACCACUGCCCUUCGUUCCACGAGCCUGGCCCUGUCUACACAGACAGGCAACCCAGGAGCCUGAUCCAGGAGCCGACAGGUAACUCUGGGCCACACAGCACUUGGCAACUGUAUCAUGAUUCUUGGCUAUGCAAACCUGAGGCUGAUGCAUCCUCCAGCAGCUGACCACGGACAUGUGCAGCAUCACAGUGACAGAUGGCAUUUCAACCACUUGGUUUACACCUUCCUCCACUGUCACCACCAUUCUGACAGAAAUGAGUUCCAUUUGCUCCAUUUUACAUAAGGGCAAAAGGCAGCAUUGACUCACCAAGUUUACACAGUUAGGGAAAAGAGCAACCAGGUCAGGAUCAGAUACAACAAAGAAGUGAUUGCAGAUGUUAAAUGGAACAUAGCUCUGGUCGUUUGAUAAAUAUUCAGUAAUUUCUUCAGUUUGUUAAGAAAAAUUAUCCAAAAUUUACAAUUACAGAGGAAGCAAAAUUUUACCUGUACCCUAUUUUUUUUUUUCUGGGGCUAAGAAUUAAAUUGACUUAAGACAGACAUAAGACAGAUCAACAGCAGAAGAACAAAUUUACUUAAUACAAGUUUUACAUGGCAGGAGAGACUACAUAAGGAAAU